GACGACGGGUACCGGGACUGAGAGGUUGACCCGGCGCAUCGGGACUGAGACACUGCCCGGACUCCUACGGGAGGCUGCAGUAACGAAUAUUCCGCAAUGGGCGAAAGCCUGACGGAGCGACGCCGCGUGUGGGAGGAAGCCCUUCGGGGUGUAAACCACUGUCAGGGAUUACCAAGCAAAGUUGGCGAAUAGCCUUCUGCGUUGAGGAGUCCCAGAGGAAGCCACGGCUAACUUCGUGCCAGCAGCCGCGGUAAUACGAAGGUGGCGAGCGUUGUUCGGAAUCACUGGGCUUAAAGGGCACGCAGGCGGACUGUAAAGCGUCUUGUGAAAGCCCCCGGCUUAACCGGGGAAUUGCUAGGCGAACUGGCAGUCUUGAGGCAGGUAAGGGCGAGUGGAACUCUUGGUGGAGCGGUGGAAUGCGUAGAUAUCAAGAGGAACGCCGGAGGCGAAAGCGACUCGCUGGGCCUGACCUGACGCUGAGGUGCGAAAGCCAGGGUAGCGAACGGGAUUAGAUACCCCGGUAGUCCUGGCCAUAAACGAUGUCCACUAGAUCGGUGAACUUCUGACAGUGCGCCGGUCGAAACAAAAGCGUUAAGUGGACCGCCUGGGGAGUACGGUCGCAAGGCUAAAACUCAAAGGAAUUGACGGGGGCUCACACAAGCGGUGGAGCAUGUUGCUUAAUUCGAUGCAACGCGAAGAACCUUAUCCUGGACUUGACAUGUUUGGAUGCCUCCCUGGAAACAGGGUUGGUUGCCCUUCGGGGUGAAACAUUCACAGGUGCUGCAUGGCUGUCGUCAGCUCGUGUCGUGAGAUGUUGGGUUAAGUCCCGUAACGAGCGAAACCCUUGUCGUUAGUUGCCAGCGCGUAAUGGCGGGGACUCUAGCGAGACUGCCGGUGUUAAACCGGAGGAAGGUGGGGAUGACGUCAAGUCCUCAUGGCCUUUAUGUCCAGGGCUGCAAACGUGCUACAAUGGCGUGUACAAACCGACGCAAGACCGCGAGGUGGAGCAAAUCGGAAAAAGCACGCCCCAGUUCGGAUUGGAGUCUGCAACUCGACUCCAUGAAGUCGGAAUCGCUAGUAAUCGCGUAUCA
rnacentral:rRNA from 1 species